rnacentral:rRNA from 1 species
CCCUUAGAUGUCCUGGGCUGCACGCGCGCUACACUGAUGUGUCCAGUAAGCACCUAACCUCUUCCGAAAGGAACGGGUAACCUUUGCAAAGCACAUCGUGAUGGGGAUAGAUUAUUGCAAUUAUUAGUCUUAAACGAGGAAUUCCUAGUAAGCACAAGUCAUCAGCUUGUGUUGAUUACGUCCCUGCCCUUUGUACACACCGCCCGUCGCUCCUACCGAUUGAAUGUUCCGGUGAGCUCUUCGGACUGCGCGGUCUGCAGUUUCUGCGUUCCGUGCGGAAAGUUGCGCAAACCUUAACAUUUAGAGGAAGGAGAAGUCGUAACA